rnacentral:rRNA from 1 species
CACGUAUUUAGCCGUCACUUCUUCUGUUGGUACCGUCAUUUCUUUCUUCCCAACUGAAAGCACUUUACAUUCCGAAAAACUUCAUCGUGCACACAGAAUUGCUGGAUCAGACUCUUGGUCCAUUGUCCAAUAUUCCCCACUGCUGCCUCCCGUAGGAGUAAGGGCCGUGUCUCAGUCCCCUUGUGGCCGAUCACCCUCUCAGGCCGGCUACCCAUCAUCGCCUUGGUGAGCCGUUACCUCUCCAACUAGCUAAUGGGACGCAAAGCUCUCUCACAGUGCAUUUAGCUUUUCAUAAUUAUAGGAUGCCCUAUUAUCAUAAUAUUAGGUAUUAGCAUUCGUUUCCAAAUGUUGUCCCUAGCUGUGAGGCAAGUUCUUUACGCGUUACUCACCCGUCCGCCACCCAAACCUAAGUUAAAAACCUAAAUUCAAGUAGACUUGCAUGUGUUAAGCAUUCUGUCAGCGUUCAUCCUGAGCCAGGAUCAAAACUCU